rnacentral:rRNA from 1 species
UGGGGAAUUUUCCGCAAUGGGGGGAACCCUGACGGAGCAACGCCGCGUGCGGGAGGACGGCCUGUGGGUUGUAAACCGCUUUUCUCUAGGAAGAAGGUCUGACGGUACUAGAGGAAUCAGCAUCGGCUAACUCCGUGCCCGCAGCCGCGGUAAGACGGAGGAUGCAUGCAUUAUCCGGAAUGAUUGGGCGUAAAGCGUCUGCAGGUGGCUAUGCAAGUCUGCUGUUAAAGAGUGGAGCUCAACUCCUUAAGGGCAGUGGAAACUGCGUAACUAGAGUACGUUCGGGGUAGAGGGAAUUCCUGGUGUAGCGGUGAAAUGCGUAGAUAUCAGGAAGAACACCGGUGGCGAAAGCGCUCUACUAGGCCGUAACUGACACUGAGAGACGAAAGCUAAGGGAGCGAAUGGGAUUAGAUACCCGUGUAGUCC